UACGGAGGGGGCUAGCGUUAUUCGGAAUUACUGGGCGUAAAGCGCACGUAGGCGGCUUUGUAAGUCAGAGGUGAAAGCCUGGAGCUCAACUCCAGAACUGCCUUUGAGACUGCAUCGCUUGAAUCCAGGAGAGGUGAGUGGAAUUCCGAGUGUAGAGGUGAAAUUUCGUAGAUAUUCGGAAGAACACCAGUGGCGAAGGCGGCUCACUGGACUGGUAUUGACGCUGAGGUGCGAAAGCGUGGGGGAGCAAACAGGG
rnacentral:rRNA from 1 species